rnacentral:rRNA from 1 species
UCAGACGAUGCGUCAUGCAUAUCAAUAAGCGGAGGAAAAGAGACUAACAAGGAUUCCCCUAGUAACGGCGAGUGAAGCGGGAAGAGCUCAAAUUUGAAAUCUUAAAGGGUUUCCCUUUACGAAUUGUAGUUUAAAGAAGGUGUUUUCUGUUGAGGUUUUGGUAAAAGUUCUUUGGAAUAGGACAUCAUAGAGGGUGAGAAUCCCGUAUUUGACCUUUACUUUCAACUUUGUGAUACACUUUCAAAGAGUCGGAUUGUUUGGGAAUGCAGUCCAAAAUGGGUGGUAAAUUUCAUCUAAAGCUAAAUAUUGGCGAGAGACCGAUAGCGAACAAGUACCGUGAGGGAAAGAUGAAAAGAACUUUGAAAAGAGAGUUAAACAGUACGUGAAAUUGUCAAAAGGGAAGCGUUUGACACCAGUGUUGUUUUUCUGAAAAUCAAUUAAAGAACUGUUUAUGCUAAGUUGUAUAGACUUUAUCAGCUAACUGUUUAGUUUUGAGCUUUUCUUUAAUGCACUUUUCAGUUAACAAGUCAGCAUCAAUUUCCUUUGCUGUAAAAAAGCUUGAGGAAGGUGGCUUGAGAUUCGUCUUAAGUGUUUAUAGCCUCUUGCCUAUGCAGUCGGAGAGAUUGAGGUCUGCAGCGUAGAUCCUUCGGGGCUAAAUGCAUUUGUGCUAAGUUAUAGCAUUUUAUAGACAACUUGUUGACUAUGAUUUGUCUUGUAGCUUACUCGCUUAUGUUAUUUUACCUACGCUUAGGAUGUUGAGCGCAUGUCUCUCUCU